rnacentral:rRNA from 1 species
UACAGAGGCCUCGAGCGUUGUUCGGAAUUACUGGGCGUAAAGGGCAUGUAGGCGGUCGGGUAAGUCAGAUGUGAAAGCCCUGGGCUUAACCUGGGAAGUGCAUUUGAUACUGCUCGGCUUGAGUGCGAGAGAGGAAAGCGGAAUUCCUGGUGUAGGAGUGAAAUCCGUAGAUAUCAGGAGGAAUACCGAUGGCGAAGGCAGCUUUCUGGCUCGUAACUGACACUGAGAUUCGAAAGCAUGGGUAGCAAACAGG